rnacentral:tRNA from 1 species
UCCGUUAUGGUCUAGUGGCUAGGAUACAUCGCUCUCAUCGCUAAGUGCCGAUGUGGCCGGGGUUCGAUUCCCCGUGACGGAA